CAAAAUCAGAGACACAAAGACAUGAAAUAGCUUAGUGCGUUUAGAGAACUACAAACAAUUUAGUUAACCUUGAACAAUAUUUGUAUCAGCUACACUGACUAUACAACUAGGAAAUUUUAUUCAGAGAAAUAAAAUGGUAUUUGCCUAACCUAAGUAAAUGCAAGAAACUUUGAAUAUCUUAGUGUGUUGAAGAGCGUGAAAUAAAGCAAAACUAUGGCAUUAUUUUACAAAUAAGUAAUAGAAAACCCUUUCAAAGCCAUAAAGCUGCAUGGACAUGUAACCCACAAAUAAGUAAGCAUGAAGCUGGUUGAACAGUAAAAUCCCAUUAUCCUGUUGUUGGAUAAAUUAACUGAUGGUGCAAUACAAGAAACAAUCAGCAGUGAGUUUUUGAGUAAUGAAGAAUAAUCUUUAAAGACAUUCUCAACCCAACACUUGAGCCAGAGCAGUAUACAUGAUCUAAAAUAAAAGUGGGAAAAUCCCCAGAACUUAUAAAUAACUGCAGAAUGUAUUUUUUUGCAAAUGUAGAGACAUAUGGCAUCUUCAAUGCCUUUAAAUAUCUAUAUAGAUCUAUAAAUAUCUACAAAUAUCUACUUUUUAAAAGCAGCUGGUGAUGAAUCUAGCCUAACAACUGGAUUUUAAUAGUUUACACACUAAACGGGAAGUUGUGAGAGUCAGAAUGGUAGAUCCGACAUAAACAGCGAGUCCAACAUGCACCAUCUUUGUGCCUUACGUAGUAUGCGCUGACAGGAGACACAAAAGAAGGUGAGUCUGAUGUUGAGAUGUCACCUUACACACUGCCAGGGCACACGAAGUUUCCUGUUUUAUCACAGUCCCCACACGUGCAAAUCCACUCUAUAUCUUCAAUGCUACUACCCAUAUCAGACAUCAGAUUGGUGCUCAAUACAUUUAAUCUAUGAAUUCUUGGGAAUCUGAUUCCCUCCUAAUCUGUACAUUCAACCAGGACAACAAUCAUCUCUCUCUUGUUUACCGCUAAGCUUUUAUUUAUUUAUUUAUUUAUUUAUUUAUUUAU